GGGGAAUAUUGGGCAAUGGGCGAAAGCCUGACCCAGCAACGCCGCGUGAAGGAAGAAGGCCUUCGGGUUGUAAACUUCUUUGACCAGGGAAGAAGAAGUGACGGUACCUGGAAAACAAGCCACGGCUAACUACGUGCCAGCAGCCGCGGUAAUACGUAGGUGGCAAGCGUUGUCCGGAUUUACUGGGUGUAAAGGGCGUGUAGGCGGGAUUGCAAGUCAGAUGUGAAAUGCCGGGGCUUAACCCCGGAGCUGCAUUUGAAACUGUAGUUCUUGAGUGAUGGAGAGGCAGGCGGAAUUCCUAGUGUAGCGGUGAAAUGCGUAGAUAUUAGGAGGAACACCAGUGGCGAAGGCGGCCUGCUGGACAUUAACUGACGCUGAGGCGCGAAAGCGUGGGGAGCAAAC
rnacentral:rRNA from 1 species